AUUUUAAGGAGAGGAUGGAGUUUUCCAAGACUUUCAAAGGUCCACAGUAAACAUCAUCUUCGAAAGAGUGGGAAAGGUGGACCCUGUGACCCGUGGCAUAGAAAUGGCUGUCAACUACCUUGAAAAACAGUUUGAUUUUUUCUAUGCCAGAGAGAGCAGCAAAUCCAGUCCAAUAUAAUAGUACUGUGCCUUGCACAAAUAAUGGGGAUGUACUUUGUAUCCUCCAUGUUACUCAUGGGGAUGAACAUGCCUCUGGAAUACGGGUAGGCAUAGUUCGUGGUCCACUGAGUUUCUCUUUGAAGG